rnacentral:lncRNA from 13 species
AGCUGAACCUUGCGAGGGCCUCUGGAUCACGGAGCUCCAAUUUCAGUGGGAACUGCCCAGCCCCGCCCCUUCCCUGGCAGAAGCACGGCGGAGCACUCUCUCCAGAAACUGACGGACGGACAGACGCUGGGACCCAGGACAACCGAGGCGCCAAUGGCGCUCCUGGCGAGCCCUGCGCAGGGCAGGAGACGAUGGAGGAACCUCCAGGGAGUAGAUGGCCGCCGUUCCCCCAGCAGCGAGCAGGGCAGAGGAGAAAGACGCUAGGAAGCCGAAGGUUCUUGCCGGUCAAGGGUCGCCCAGGGCUGCGCCCCCUGAUUCCUGCCCACGAGCAAAUGCCGGGACCCUCCCUGCCAAGUUGCUCCCGAAAAGCUCUCGGGCCUACAGGGAGAGACACUUUCUUCCUCUCUGUGAGUCUGCAAACUCGGGACCAGGUAUUUCAGGACAACUAGGAGGGGGCGCGUGUCCGCCGAGAAACUGUGAGCAACAGCGUCUGUGCUGA